GCUUCAAAUACUAAAAUCAUCGUUAGCUGCAGCCCUACCUGAAUCACAAUCACGUCCAGAGUUUUGGUUUUACAUACCUUAGACCACUGAGCCUCACAGAUGCUCUUGUAAUAGCAAUUUGGGGAAUCUAUAUCUGUAAGAGGGUAAUGCGAGGGCUUGUUUUCAUAGAUAAAUGAUCUGGAACAGUGAGUGCAGAUCCUCAAGGCCACUAAAAAGUAUGCUGUUCCAGGUUAAUAGACUUUAUAUCUUCAUGGAAUGCAAAAAUCCUUAUUCUUUGAAUAUAACAUUUUGUGAAUUUAACUUUGUUUUUGUUUUCUUGAGAGUGAUUAACUGUUGGAAAACAAAAGAGGUGGGGUUGUUUUGUAAGAUUACAGACCUAUAAAUCAUUUGUUUUCCAUGUUUUCUCUUUGAUGUCAUGGCAACCAAGCCCACCCAAACCAUACUUCCAGCAUACAUCAGUCACCAAACACUGAUAGAUAAAAACUACACAACACAUUCAAAGACAAUGUUACAGGUGGGACCUUGUUUCAUCACUCGUACUGAACCAUGUCCCCGGCAGGAGUGACUCGCUGAGCAUCUGCUUCCAAUAGCUUCCCUGUGUCUCCCCCUCCUCCUCCUCUGAGAGGUUUUGUAGGAGGCAGCAGACACAUUGGACCCAUCUGAAGACUGAACCCCAGCUUUUCGGACCAGGGCCCCAAAACAAUGAUGUAACAUCCACCAGGCUUAUAUAACUAACCUCUGCUGGCAGUUUCUCACUCUGAAACACAGAAGGUGGAGACCCUGGGAACACUCACAACAAAAAAGUACACUGUACUGGACUGUGAUUUAGAGUGUGCACACAUGCACUCAGACUGCACACACAAAAUUGACACAGUGGAACACAUAACGCAUACAAGGGUUGGUGUAACCAUAUUACAAAGAGAUUAUUGUUUUCAUUAACACCUAAUUCUAUCUAGCCUUGGCUGAUAUUAGUUUAGUGCAGAUAUAUUUUGUAUCAGCUAGUACAAAGUACAAAGAAACUGCAGUAAAGAAAUGCUAAAGAUAUCUUUAAAGGUAGUUUAGAAACAGUGACGCCUUACAUUGUUUAUUCACCAAAGAGCACCAACAAAGUUAAUUUUCAACUGAAAACUGUCCCACUCAGUUCUUGUUCACAGCUCUUUGAAAAUCAAAUUCAUGGGAUACAGCAAAGGUUUCAACGCUAUGGAUGAAACUGUUACCAGCUUAAUGAUGACCCACGGUAGAAUUCCUGACUGUUCGUAUUACUUUUACAAAUUUGAAUUAUCGUUAUAACCGAGUUCAACUAGUUGGCAUACUCACGGUAAACACUCUCCAGCAUCAACCAAAGCUAGCAACAGUCUCACAGACCCAGGCGUGCACGCUCAGCAUGCAACGUGGGUUUAUUUUGGGUCAAGGACAACAUGUCGUAACCCAGUGACAGCGCUCCAGAUAUUUUUUAGCCUAGUCGUCAGGGGACUAAGAAGCAUAGUCGUAUUUUUUUGAAUAGGGAGGGAACAUUGAAUCGCUGCGAAAAAGGACACACUAUGAAUCUUGAGAGUCAUCUUCGUACCACUGCCCACAACUUUAUAGUGAAUGCUAGGCAUUGUCGCAGCUGCCUCUGAAGCCUGGGACUCUCCACCCUGAGCCACAAAGCACUGGAGGGGUGUCUUUGAGAAGUCAAAGCGAGAGGGAACUACUUGGCAUUGUCGCAGCUGCCUCUGAAGCCUGGGACUCUCCACCCUGAGCCACAAAGCACUGGAGGGGUGUCUUUGAGAAGUCGAAGCGAGAGGGAACGUCUUGGUGAGACUCUUGCUGUGAAGAGCAAGCUCUGCGCGAGAUGAUGUUUCACAGGGCAACCUCCUUCUUGCCCGUUUGGUGGGAGGGGUUUAGCGGAGUGAUACAAGCAGCAGAGAGAGAUGCUGAAGGUUUUGCACUGUACGUUCAAUUGUUACCGAAGGCCAUUUUAAAACUUUGUGAAGAGUGGCAGUGUGAAAUAAAAAGUUAAUUAAUUAAAUUAAUAUUGAAUUAUUUC